AUGGGGAUCAUCGUGUCCUUGUUAAGCUACGCCAACGACGCGAGCAUAGUCAAACACCACAUGCUCAACGGCGGGUGCCCCCAGGAGUUCGCCGUAGCGGUGAGCCAGUGCCACCCCGACAUAGCCAAGCCCGUCGUCGACGCCGAGGCAUGCGCCAGGGCCACGGCUGCGCUGCGCAAGUGCUUCGGCCGCAACCACCGGUGGUUUGAGCACCAAUACAUCCCCCGCUUGGACCACGGCCUCGACGAGGACGUCAAGCCGUCGCCGGAGCAGGUGGAGAAGGAGAAUGAACGGAGUUGGAGGUGGUGGACUGGCAUGAGGAGAAGCUAG
rnacentral:rRNA from 1 species